rnacentral:rRNA from 1 species
AAUUUGUGCCAGCCGCUGCGGUUAAACAAAAAAUAUAAAUAAAUUUUAUAAAUUUAUAAGUUAAAUUGAAUUUAUUUAAUUAAUAAAAAAUAAUUAGGUGAAAUUUUAUUAUUUUUUAAAAAGUUAAUAUAACCAAUAGAAUUGAGUCUUGAAAAUUUUAUUUUUAAACUAGGAUUAGAUACCCUAUUAUUUAAUUAUUUAUAAAUAUAAAGAUUAGAGUAUUAAUAGUUAUGGUCUUGAAACUCAAAAAAUUUGGCGGUAUUUUAGUCUAUUCAGAGGAACUUGUAAUAUAAUCGAUAAUCCGCGAUGGACCUUACUUAAUUUUGUAAUUUAAUUUGUAUAUCGCCGUUAUUUGAAGAUUUUAUAAGAAAAAUAAUUUUCUAAGAUUUUUAUAAAAAAAUAAAUCAGGUCAAGGUGCAGUUUAUGGUUAAGUUUUAUAUGGGUUACAAUAAGAUUACUUAUACGAAUUAAAAAAUGAAAUAUUUUUAGAAAGGUGGAUUUGAUAGUAAAUUUUUACAGAUAAAAGAAUUGAUUUUAGCCCUAAAAUAUGCACACAUCGCCCGUCACUCUUGUUAAUAAUAUAA